rnacentral:lncRNA from 1 species
AUGCUGAGAUUUACUUUACCAAAAUGUUUACAAACUUUAUAGUCUGACCUACAGUAAAACCCGAAGGCCUCUUUUUGAGAUUGAGGUGAAAACAUUAUAAGCCAUUUGUUUCGUAAGUUUUGAUAAAAAUUGUGUUUGGUAAAUUCUUUGAAAGUUAUUUAUUUAACAAUUGAAACAUUAUUAGCAGCUACUCGCUUGUAUCAUAUGUUUUGAUAAAAUGGUGUUUUAUAAAUUUUUUAUAAGUUUUUUUUUUUUGAGUAAAUUCUUCUAUUUUGACAUUAGAUUUUAAAAGGAGGUAUAUGGAUGGCAAAAUUCGGGUCCGAACACCAUUUUCUUCUUUCCGGACCCGGAUUAAAACUUGGUUUUUUUUCAUUCGGGUCCAAAACGGGUUCAACCCGGAAAAAUUCGAGUUUUCGAAUUCUGGGUUUUGAACCUGGAUCAAUAUUCGGGUUUUCGAAUUCUGGGUUUUGAACCUGGAUCAAUGAAUUAGUUUCUAAAAUUCUAAAAAUAAAAUCUUUAUACAUUUCCAAUCAAUAACACAUUCGGAUUGUAAAUCAUCCAUAAACAAUACAAAUUUCUAAACAAUAACACAUCCAAUAAUAUAAAUCCAUAAAUGUCAAUAUUUCAAUUAAUAAAACAACCACAAAUAUUUCUACAUAAUUUUCUAUGAAACCUGCAAACAUCGGGCUUGAUGUCUUGAAAGCGACGACCUUCUUGGCUUGCAUGAUGUCACAAAGCGGAAAUAAUUAGCACGUUAAUCCAAGGUAAAGCCCUUGUUUGGUUGCAAAGGAAAUGAAGGAAGAUCCAUGGAUUAGUUAAAGAUUAAUCCAGUCAUUUGGUCUCCUGCGGCAAAAUCGAAGAUGUAAACGAAUGGAGUUUAAGAGAGACAGAGAGCGGGGCAAACCGAAUAAAGGAGCGGUGUUGAGGUCGAACCCGAGCUUGCGACGGCAGCAGCCUGGACCGAUGAUGAUGAAUAGGCACUUUUCCUGCAGUAGCCAGCAGGCGACAGCUGCGAUAUGAGGAAGAUGAAUAGAUAAAAUUAGUUUUUGUUGUUGUUGUUGUUUGUAUUUAUAUUAGUUAAUAAAUAUAAUUAAAAAAUAAUAUUAAAAUAAGAUAUUCGAGUUUCAGAUAUACGGGUUAACUCAAACCCGGAAUCGGACCCGGAUAUAUCCGGGUCACUAAAAUUCAUUCCGAUACGGGUUCAACCCGACUCAAAUUUUUUGGGUUCGUCUGGGUCCGGGUUAAAUUGCCAUCCCUAAGAAGG